UGGGGAAUAUUGGACAAUGGGCGAAAGCCUGAUCCAGCCAUGCCGCGUGUGUGAAGAAGGUCUUCGGAUUGUAAAGCACUUUAAGCUGGGAGGAAGGGCAGUAAGCGAAUACCUUGCUGUUUUGACGUUACCGACAGAAUAAGCACCGGCUAACUCUGUGCCAGCAGCCGCGGUAAUACAGAGGGUGCAAGCGUUAAUCGGAAUUACUGGGCGUAAAGCGCGCGUAGGUGGUUCGUUAAGUUGGAUGUGAAAGCCCCGGGCUCAACCUGGGAACGGCAUCCAAAACUGGCGAGCUAGAGUAGGGCAGAGGGUGGUGGAAUUUCCUGUGUAGCGGUGAAAUGCGUAGAUAUAGGAAGGAACACCAGUGGCGAAGGCGACCACCUGGGCUCAUACUGACACUGAGGUGCGAAAGCGUGGGGAGCAAACAGG
rnacentral:rRNA from 1 species